CAGUGUCAGAUACAAGAAGCAGAUGGAGACACAGGAGAUAUGUCACAGAGGUUGUUUGAGUUUUCCAGAAAUGUCUGAGCUCCUGCAAACCAGAGAUUACCAACUUCAUCAACAAGUCACUUGUGGACGACCAUUAGAUGACAGAAAUCACCGUCUCCAGAAGAAGCUGCAGGUGUCUAACCUCCUAUUCCUACCUCCCUCCACCCUCAGCAAAAACUCAGCACAACACAAACAAUCCUUCAAAAGAAAUCUUGCUAAAAGAAGAUAUUGAUCUUUUCCUCCCUUUCCUUUAGCCUCCAGUUUUCUCCCCUUAUUAGAAAUGGAGUUAGUUUACCCUAUUCCUCACCCAGACUGCAAACAUUAAUAAUAGAGAAUAAGAUUU